rnacentral:rRNA from 1 species
GACGAACGCUGGCGGCGUGCUUAACACAUGCAAGUCGAGCGGUAAGGCCCUUUCGGGGGUACACGAGCGGCGAACGGGUGAGUAACACGUGGGUGACCUGCCCUCAGCUCUGGGAUAAGCCUGGGAAACCGGGUCUAAUACUGGAUAUGACUCCAUGACGCAUGUUGUGGGGUGGAAAGCCUUGUGCGGCUGAGGAUGGGCCCGCGGCCUAUCAGCUUGUUGGUGGGGUGANGGCCUACCAAGGCGACGACGGGUANCCGGCCUGAGAGGGCGACCGGCCACACUGGGACUGAGACACGGCCCAGACUCCUACGGGAGGCAGCAGUGGGGAAUCUUGCGCGAAUGGGCGAAAGCCCUGACGCAGCGACGCCG